rnacentral:lncRNA from 1 species
UCUACGACUGUGCCUACCCCCUAAGGAUGUCCCUGGGUCUGUAUCGCCGUUUGUAACACGUCCAAAAACCCAUAAAAAUGCCCUUAGCCCCCACCUGACUAANAACAACAACAACAACAAUAAUAAUAAGUGGUGCCUGGCGGUGCCCCCGAAUUUCCAAGCUCCCUCUGCCCUCUCCUCCGCUGCCCACUGCCUGAAUUUCGCACCUCCACCUACGUUUUGCAUGGAGGGGGAGGGAGAAGGUGGGCGCAGCUCCUAUAACCAGGCAACCCUCUUUAGACGUGGGGCUGUGCAGGAUGGGACUGUGAUUUAUAGGAUUUCUCCACUUUGUUCCUGCCUCCUCCUUGCUCUUCAGCCACUCCAAAGUCUCUUCGCCCUCGUUCAAAGCCACGAUUCCUUCCCCUCCGCGGCGGUGUGCGCGUCUCUCUCUUUCUCCCUCCCUCAUCUCCCUGGAGAGAGGGGGGGGGGGCGGGAAACUCAACUCCCAAACAUCGUCCAGAUGUCGAAGAAACGCAAAACCCCCGAGAGUGGAGGAUCCGGCCUCCACGAGGAGGAAUCCAAAACCCAGCUGGGGGACUGCGAUGAGCAAGGGAGUCAAGAUAACAGAUUUGAGAACCAUCUGGGAAAUUAAGCGCUGUGCUUCAGGCAAUACUUCACCUUGUUUUCAGCAAAUGCUAAAGUUUGCCUCUAGCAUUAUGGAGUUUGGACAGCUUGGAAGGGGC